GAAGAGCGCGCUUGGCAGCGGCAGCGCUCCUGCUCUGCUCCCCUCGGGAGCUCCGCGGCGCUGCCGCUAAGGCAAGAGAAAAAGGAUUAAUGACGUGCUCUUUCCCCGGGCUGUGAGGAGCGGGGUACAAGGUAAGAUUCUUACUAAUACCUCAAAGCACAAAAAAUCAUCACAGAGGGAUUGGCUCAAUCUGGCAAGCACAUGGAUGAGAAAACAGGAACUGGAGAAAGAACUUGGCAAAAGAGCUCCCUACAUUGUAACUGCACGGGACGAAAACAGUAAUCAACACUUUGCUGGAUUGCUCUCUCAGGUUAAAUAAGGAACACUCCUUUCAGAAAUCAGUGUGCUGAAGAACCUGAUCAAUGCAGCUUCCACAGAUAUUUCACAAAGGCAACUGCAAACUGGCACUAGAUCAGACAUCCAGCAAUUCUUCCUAGGAUUGUGUUUACCCCAGCAGAGUAGUUUUCUAUAAAAUCUUUCAACUACUGGGAAAUCUUUUUUUUUUUUUUUUUUUUUUUUUCUGGAAAGAUACAUCCGGACAAUGGAAACUGACUGUACUACUUCAGGCCUGGCAUUCUCACUGAUUGACAUCAUUCUCAGCCUGGAAUGCCAUUUCCCUGAAGAUUGCCAAAAACUGCAAAACUUUGUUACAGUAUUUUACUUUUACAGACAACUGAGUGAAACAUUUUUGUCAAACUAUCAAGACACAAACCAUUGAAUUUCCUGGGACAUACAAGCCUUUCAGUUAACUGGUUACCUCCAGUCCCCUCAGGUUUUCUGAUUGACAGAAAUUUAAUGUUCUCAUUAAAUGAGUAUUCCACCAAA